UGGUGCUAAAAAUUAUAGCUGAAACAGUGUAUAGGGGUCAGUUUACCGAAAAAAUUUCAGAUCAUUGGUUUUAUGUCCAAAGAGAGAAAUAUCAGGUUCUAAGCAUAAAUCUUUCAGAAUCAAUAUAGGAACAUAGACUAAUACUUCUGUAGGAUGGGGUUAGAACACUUGCCUUUGAGAAUUUUGACCCUAAAUGAGAAGAUUUGAGCAAGAAACCUCAAAGCCCCAUUUUUUUUUCUUCUUCUUCUUCCCCCUUUUUCUUCUCUUCUUCUUUCUUUCUUUCUCCUGUGCUUCCACGUAGCUGCCUUCUCUGGUUCCUUAUGAACGAAGGUAGAGAGGCUUAAACGGUGGGAUUUGUAUUUUUGUGUAUUUUGCAG
rnacentral:lncRNA from 1 species